rnacentral:lncRNA from 10 species
GGAGCUGUUCCUAUUCGGCCAUCUUGGCUCCUCCCUCCAUCGGUAAACCAACUCUUUAACAAAGGGGAGCUGAGGCUCUGUGGCUGGAACCUGGGACUUAGGCCUGAAUUAAUCAGAGCAAUGCACUCCACUGGCCAUGGAGGUGGAAGUUGUAUUCACAAGCUCUAAAUGUCAGCCUUCAUCUUUAGACCUAGUGGAAAGCAAAGAAGACAAAACGUGAUGCAAUGAACCUUGUUAUGGUACCCAAAAUAUGGGGAUCUAGCUUCUGUUAGCAUGCCUGCAUCCCUGUCUUGGCCCCACUGAUGAGGAGCAGGCAAGAUAGGGAUUCUGAGUAUGAAGGAAGUUACUGAAGCAAUUAACAAUCAGAGUGUCUGAUUAGUGCUAUAAUUUCAAAUGUAAACAACAACAAAAAACCUUUUAGAUUUCAGGUGAGAAUUGCACUCUUCAAAGAUGGUUCCUCU